GACGAACGCUGGCGGCGUGCUUAACACAUGCAAGUCGAACGGAAAGGCCCUGCUUUUGUGGGGUGCCCGAGUGGCGAACGGGUGAGUAACACGUGAGUAACCUGCUCUUGACUUUGGGAUAACUUCAGGAAACUGGGGCUAAUAUCGGAUAGGAGCUCCUGCUGCAUGGUGGGGGUUGGAAAGUUGCGGCGGUUGGGGAUGGACGCGCGGCUUAUCAGCUUGUUGGUUGGGUAGUGGCUUACCAAGGCUUUGACGGGUAGCCGGCCUGAGUGGGUGACCGGCGACAUUGGUACUGAGGUACGGCCCAGACUCCAACGGGAGGCAGAAGUGGGGAAUAUUGCACAGUGGGCGGAAGCCUGAUGCAGCAACGCCGCGUGCGGGAUGACGGCCUUCUGGUUGUAAACCGCUUUCGCCUGUGACGAAGCGUGAGUGACGGUAAUGGGUAAAGAAGCACCGGCUAACUACGUG
rnacentral:rRNA from 1 species